rnacentral:rRNA from 1 species
UACGGAAGGUAGCAGUGGGGAAUAUUGCACAAUGGGCGAAAGCCUGAUGCAGCUAUGCCGCGUGUAUGAAGAAGGCCUUAGGGUUGUAAAGUACUUUCAUCGGGGAGGAAAAAACAAAACUAAUAAUUUUAUUUCUUGACGUUACCCGAAAAAGAAGCACCGGCUAACUCCGUGCCAGCAGCCGCGGUAAUACGGAGGGUGCUAGCGUUAAUCAGAAUUACUGGGCGUAAAGAGCACGUAGGUGGUUUUUUUAAAGUCAGAUGUGAAAUCCCUGGGCUUAACCUGGAACUGCAUUUUGAAACUGAAAUACUAGAGUAUCGUAGAGGGAGGUAGAAUUCUAGGUGUAGCGGUGAAAUGCGUAGAUAUCUGGAGGAAUACCUGUGGCGAAAGCGGCCUCCUAAACGAAUACUGACACUGAGGUGCGAAAGCGUGGGGAGCAAACAGGGAUUAGAUACC